rnacentral:rRNA from 1 species
AUUCAUGACGGUAUCAACAGAAGAAGCACCGGCUAACUACGUGCCAGCAGCCGCGGUAAUACGUAGGGUGCGAGCGUUAAUCGGAAUUACUGGGGCGUAAAGGGUGCGCAGGCGGUUCUGUAAGUCAGAUGUGAAAUCCCCGGGCUUAACCUGGGAACUGCGUUUGAAACUACAGAGCUAGAGUGUGGCAGAGGGGGGUGGAAUUCCAUGUGUAGCAGUGAAAUGCGUAGAGAUAUGGAAGAACAUCGAUGGCGAAGGCAGCCCCCUGGGUCAACACUGACGCUCAUGCACGAAAGCGUGGGGAGCAAACAGGAUUAGAUACCCUGGUAGUCCACGCCCUAAACUAUGUCAACUAGUUGUCGGGCCUUAUUAGGUUUGGUAACGUAGCUAACGCGUGAAGUUGACCGCCUGGGGAGUACGGUCGCAAGAUUAAAACUCAAAGGAAUUGACGGG